AUUAGUUUUUUUUUCCCUUUAUUAUUAGAAGAGAAAAUUGGAAUGAAAUGGACCCAAUUAGUGUUGAAGAAAAAAGCCAAGUUUUUGCAGUUCAAAGUGAUAUCUUUAUCACAAUUUAUUUGGAGACAAAGUCUUUUUUUUUUUUACCUACAUGCGCCUUUUCUCUCCUCUCCUUUCAUCCGAGGUGCAAUAUUGAGCUCUUUGAAGCAUUGAAGUAUCUUCCCCCCUGAAUUUCAAAGACUAUAGUUGACAUAUUUUAGUUUGUUAAUUAUGGUAUGAGCAAGUGUUCUGCCUCUUGAAUCUUAUAUGUGAGUUCGUCCAUUGGAUUUUGGGUUUGAUUGCGUUGCGACUAUAUUGCUAAGAGAGAAAAGUGUUUUUUUCUUGGUUUAACUUUGAUUGCAGCAUGAGGAAUAAUCACUCAGAAGAAAAUAUGCGAUAUUUUAAUGUCACGAUUCUUGAUCCAACGCAGUCUCCUAUGAAGGGAGGAAGGAAGGAACUUAACUUGGGAGGAAGAGAAUGACAGCUAAUGGAGUUGCGCUAAGGGUAGGAUCUCUUGCAAGUUGAUCAAAGAAGGUGACAAGACAACUAUGAGUCCUUUUACUGGUGUCAACAGCUGUGGUGUGAUCCGAAUGUUUAUUUUUCCUAUUGGACUUGUAAUUGAGAAAAAUUAAAGAUUAUCUUAAUCAUAUUUUCAUUAGGUGGUUAAGAAGAGUUUGAAGAUAUUUGAUUCCUCAUCUUUUAUAGAUUCUAAUUCCUAUGUAUCUAUGAAGAGCAUUUGUCUAUUCUCACAACUCUUCGCAUAUAAAGGAACAUUUACUAGCUACCUUAAAUUGUAAAUAUUGGCCCCGUGCUUGCACGGGCUAUUUUAUCUA